rnacentral:misc_RNA from 1 species
GAUGAAGAACGCAGCAAAAUGCGAUAAGUAAUGUGAAUUGCAGAAUUCAGUGAAUCAUCGAAUCUUUGAACGCACAUUGCGCCCCCUGGUAUUCCGGGGGGCAUGCCUGUUCGAGCGUCAUUUCACCACUCAAGCCUCGCUUGGUAUUGGGCGACGCGGUCCGCCGCGCGCCUCAAAUCGACCGGCUGGGUCUUUCGUCCCCUCAGCGUUGUGGAAACUAUUCGCUAAAGGGUGCCGCGGGAGGCCACGCCGUAAAACAACCCCAUUUCUAAGGUUGACCUCGGAUCAGGUAGGGAUACCCGCUGAACUUAAGCAUAUCAAUAAGCGGAGGA